rnacentral:sRNA from 1 species
AUUUCAACCCUCGACCUCCCUUUGGGGAAGUCGGCGUUGGGGACCGGCAGCACACCGCCGGCCCUGAAAUGGAGUGGCGGCCCGUCCGCGGCGACCUCUGCGUAGUAAACCAACUCGCACCGGAACCCCGACGUGGCCACGUCGUAAAACACCCAACUUCUGAACGUUGACCUCGAAUCAGGUAGGACUACCCUUGUGAACUUAA